rnacentral:rRNA from 1 species
AGUGAACGCUGGCGGCAUGCCUUACACAUGCAAGUCGAACGGCAGCACGGACUUCGGUCUGGUGGCGAGUGGCGAACGGGUGAGUAAUGUAUCGGAACGUACCUUUCAGUGGGGGAUAACGUAGCGAAAGUUACGCUAACACCGCAUAUUCUGUGAGCAGGAAAGCAGGGGAUCGCAAGACCUUGCGCUGAUUGAGCGGCCGAUAUCAGAUUAGCUAGUUGGUGAGGUAAAGGCUCACCAAGGCGACGAUCUGUAGCGGGUCUGAGAGGAUGAUCCGCCACACUGGAACUGAGACACGGUCCAGACUCCUACGGGAGGCAGCAGUGGGGAAUUUUGGACAAUGGGCGCAAGCCUGAUCCAGCCAUGCCGCGUGAGUGAAGAAGGCCUCGGGUUGU